UACGUAGGGUGCAAGCGUUGUCCGGAAUUAUUGGGCGUAAAGCGUCCGUAGAUGGUCGUUUCAAGUCUGCUGUCAAAGACCGGGGCUUAACCCCAGAAAGGCGGUGGAAACUGAACAGCUAGAGAGAGGUAGGGGUAGAGGGAAUUCCCAGUGUAGCGGUGAAAUGCGUAGAUAUUGGGAAGAACAUCAGUGGCGAAAGCGCUCUACUGGACCUUAUCUGACAUUGAGGGACGAAAGCUAGGGGAGCGAAUGGG
rnacentral:rRNA from 1 species